rnacentral:rRNA from 1 species
GAUGAACGCUGGCGGCGUGCCUAAUACAUGCAAGUCGAGCGAACAGACGAGGAGCUUGCUCCUCUGACGUUAGCGGCGGACGGGUGAGUAACACGUGGAUAACCUACCUAUAAGACUGGGAUAACUUCGGGAAACCGGAGCUAAUACCGGAUAAUAUAUUGAACCGCAUGGUUCAAUAGUGAAAGACGGUUUUGCUGUCACUUAUAGAUGGAUCCGCGCCGCAUUAGCUGGUUGGUAAGGUAACGGCUUACCAAGGCAACGAUGCGUAGCCGACCUGAGAGGGUGAUCGGCCACACUGGAACUGAGACACGGUCCAGACUCCUACGGGAGGCAGCAGUAGGGAAUCGUCCGCAAUGGGCGAAAGCUUGACGGAGCAACGCCGCGUGAGUGAUGAAGGUCUUCGGAUCGUAAAACUCUGUUAUUAGGGAAGAACAAAUGUGUAAGUAACUAUGCACGUCUUGACGGUACCUAAUCAGAAAGCCACGGCUAACUACGUG